ACAAACUGUCUGCCAUGUCGACUGAUGUUACCACCUAAAAUAGUACAAACUGUCCGAGGGUUUAGUUCUUUCUAGGUGACCGUACAAAGUGUCUUACAAUCGUAGCGGCUGGCUAGUCUUCGCACCUUAUACAUAUUACUACCAACGACAUGUCUUCUUCUUCGUCUUCUUCUUCGAAAGAUGGUAAAUCAUUAUUCAACCUUCAAAAGGCGAUGGACAAAUGUGUGUCUGAUUGGGAUAAGGCAAAAGCAGCGAGAGAUAAAGCAGAAGCAGACCUCGCGCUUAUUUCACCCACACGGCCAAAGGACGCCAAGCCAUUUUUUAUAAAAAAAACCACCUAGUCGUCAAAACUAGGGCCUAUAUUAUUUUUAAUUAUAUUAUUAUAUUAUUUUUCAUUUUUAUUAGUCGACCGUAUGUAUACGCGACUAUUCGAAACGAAACGAGUUGUUAACAAAAAUAAAUUAUGACAUUGUUUUGUUCUUGAGUUAUUCAUUUAAAACUAUAUCAAAAAAUAUUAUUGCUGUACUAAUUACGAAUUAAAUUAAAACAUUUUUAAAAAUCGUAUUAUAUUAUGUAAUAUAUUAUUGUAUAUACAGCUGUUGAACUGUCAACUAUUUUACGUCACGCAUUGAAUAAAAUAUGUCACUUAAUUGUCACUUAAAUGUCACUCAAAAAAUGCCAAAAUAUGAGUAUUACCAAUCACUAAGGAACAGUCAUUGUGCUAUUUUGUACCCAUUAUUUGUAUAUUAUUAUAUGACACAUUUCAUUUGUAGUUGAAUGCCAAAGGUGGGCAAGUUAAUAAAAAUAAUUAAUUGUGGAAAGUU